UUGUGGCAUGAAUUAUUUGACUGUACACCAUUUUUAUAACUUAUGUGCGCUUGAAGGGUGUAAAUAGCGAAUGCUGAUGAAGUAAUUCCAGUGGUGCUGUGGUAUCCAUCAAGUGCUUUGAUUGACUGGUGAAAUCAAGUAGUUAUUGCUUGUAGAUGGUUGAUCAUCAUUUUGGGUUUGAGAAUACAGAUUAUCACUCAAGGAGAAUACUUACAUAACUUUGAAUCAAAAUGGGUGUCAUUUCUUCAGUCGUCACAUUGUCCAUGAGUAUGCUGUGUUUGGCCUUUGCAGCUACCCCUCCUCAUAACUAUAGAUUAGUCGGCAAAGUUGAAAAUGUAUUUUAUGGUGGUUUCCGGCUAAACAAUGAAAUCCCACAAGACACGAACUGUUAUGUAGCUGUAAAACAUGAGCUGCCAGUUACUAGAGAACUGCCGCAGAGUAAAGAAUAUCAUUCAUGUAGGUACUUCACACUUUGUAUUUUUGCGGAAAGAAUGAAGGAAUUGGAUAUUGGAGUUGAACUGUAUGGAAUUGAUAAAGAUGGUGACAAGAAGGAUAAUCAAUUAGUUGGUCUUCAUAUGUAUACUGUUCAGCCACAGGCGUUUUUCCCAAAAUUCCCUGCGUGAAUAGUAAUCAAGUAGUUGGUAUUCAUAAGGUUAGGGGACUGAACCACAAGCUUUUUUUUUUAAAAGACCUGUAGUGCAAAUGCUGUCAGUGUGAACUGUGAAUGUCAGUAAGUCUUUUAAUAAAAUUUCCUGUUUCUAUGAUA